GACAGAGGGGGCAAGCGUUGCUCGGAAUUACUGGGCGUAAAGGGCGCGUAGGCGGGAUGGCAAGUCGGUCGUGAAAUCCCUCGGCUCAACCGAGGAACGUCGAUCGAUACUGCUGUUCUUGAGGAUUGCAGAGGAGACUGGAAUUCCCGGUGUAGCGGUGAAAUGUGUAGAGAUCGGGAGGAAGACCGGUGGCGAAGGCGGCCUGCUGGGCAGUUACUGACACUGAGGCGCGACAGCGUGGGGAGCAAACAGG
rnacentral:rRNA from 1 species